rnacentral:rRNA from 1 species
AGAGUUUGAUCCUGGCUCAGGAUGAACGCUGGCGGCGUGCUUAACACAUGCAAGUCGAACGAUCCUUCGGGAUAGUGGCGGACGGGUGAGUAACGCGUGGGAAUCUGCCCUUAGGAGGGGGAUAACGGCUGGAAACGGCCGCUAAUACCCCAUAUGCCGAGAGGUGAAACGAAUCUCGCCUGAGGAUGAGCCCGCGUCUGAUUAGCUAGUUGGUGGGGUAAAGGCCUACCAAGGCGACGAUCAGUAGCUGGUCUGAGAGGAUGAUCAGCCACACUGGGACUGAGACACGGCCCAGACUCCUACGGGAGGCAGCAGUGGGGAAUUUUCCGCAAUGGGCGAAAGCCUGACGGAGCAACGCCGCGUGAGGGAUGAAGGCCUCUGGGCUGUAAACCUCUUUUCUCAAGGAAGAAGAACUGACGGUACUUGAGGAAUAAGCCACGGCUAAUUCCGUGCCAGCAGCCGCGGUAAUACGGGAGUGGCAAGCGUUAUCCGGAAUUAUUGGGCGUAAAGCGUCCGCAGGCGGCCUUGUAAGUCUGUUGUUAAAGCGUGGAGCUCAACUCCAUUUAAGCAAUGGAAACUACAAGGCUGGAGUGUGGUAGGGGCAGAGGGAAUUCCCGGUGUAGCGGUGAAAUGCGUAGAUAUCGGGAAGAACACCAGUGGCGAAGGCGCUCUGCUGGGCCAUAACUGACGCUCAUGGACGAAAGCCAGGGGAGCGAAAGGGAUUAGAUACCCCUGUAGUCCUGGCCGUAAACGAUGAACACUAGGUGUCGGGGGAAUCGACCCCCUCGGUGUCGUAGCCAACGCGUUAAGUGUUCCGCCUGGGGAGUACGCACGCAAGUGUGAAACUCAAAGGAAUUGACGGGGGCCCGCACAAGCGGUGGAGUAUGUGGUUUAAUUCGAUGCAACGCGAAGAACCUUACCAGGGUUUGACAUCCUGCGAAUCCCUUGGAAACGAGGGAGUGCCUUCGGGAGCGCAGUGACAGGUGGUGCAUGGCUGUCGUCAGCUCGUGUCGUGAGAUGUUGGGUUAAGUCCCGCAACGAGCGCAACCCACGUCUUUAGUUGCCAGCAUUCAGUUGGGCACUCUAGAGAGACCGCCGGUGAUAAACCGGAGGAAGGUGUGGAUGACGUCAAGUCAUCAUGCCCCUUACAUCCUGGGCUACACACGUACUACAAUGCUACGGACAAAGGGCAGCAAGCUCGCGAGAGUUAGCAAAUCCCAUAAACCGUGGCUCAGUUCAGAUCGUAGGCUGCAACUCGCCUACGUGAAGGAGGAAUCGCUAGUAAUCGCAGGUCAGCAUACUGCGGUGAAUACGUUCCCGGGCCUUGUACACACCGCCCGUCACACCAUGGAAGUUGGCCAUGCCCGAAGUA